GUGUUUUUGUUUUUGAGGUUUCAUUCAGGUACGAUACUUUUCAGAAAGAUGUCCUUUUAUUGAGUGAACAGUGUAUUUCUGCGCUGUUUGAACGGGGGUGAAGUUUCCCUCGGCAAGGAAAGGAGUUGAAACUAUUUUCUUAGCCAAACCUUGUUGAAUAUUAAUGCAUUUUUAUUGGUGUCGUUUUGCAGAACUUCUGUGUCCCAUCCAGUCGCUGCAACCGAGACCUGAAGGUGUUGGAACCAGUUAAUUAUUAUUUAUUUGGAAUUGUUGGACAUUGUUCGGAAUUGCCGGCGUGUUGCGAUUUUCAAAUAUAAAAUGAUCGAGUUGUGGUCUUUUUCAUUGGAUCUGUUGACGUGGGGGUCUCCUUUGAAAGGCGCAUGCUAGUGUCGUGUGUGGACACACAUUCCAAGCUGCACAUCUGCAGUGCCUGUCUUACAACAUGCCGUGGUCACUGUCUAGAGGGAUUCGGUUCUCUCUCCCAGAUCCUGGACAAGCACGUGCCUGUUCGCUGGUCACUGAAAUCUACGUGUUCAGCGGAGCUUUCGUCUGGUGAGUAGGGCCUUCAUGGC